AGGUGGAAAACGAGUCUGACGAGCAGACAAAAGAGGGAGAAGGGCUGGGAAACAAAGUUGUCUAUUGGCCUCAGAGGUUACAAGGAGCCGACGGAGAAAGAAAAUAUUUAGGCAAUCUGCAAAAGCACGGUCUCUCCCAGGAGUUAUGUAAUUUUCAGAACGUUCGCCUCUGCCUUGAUUUCGGGCCAUCGGCGUAAUUCCCACAACUUCUUCCAACUGCAAAAUUAGGAAAGAUUUGAAAUGAAGGUUAGCCCCGGUCAGAGAGCCCUAUGGCCUGUACCCAGUAGGUACUCAAUAAAUGCUUAUGACUGACUGCACCCGCCCCAAAGAGAAUGUUUACAUAACUCUUUUUGAAGGCACCUUAAACACGUAUGUAGGUUUGUCAGUGUAUUUCCAAAGGAAUAUGUCCACGUAUUCCCAAAGGAGCAUUUUUCUUACAUGCACUUGGAUGUCCUCUGUGGAGUAUGUACAGUGGUGUUUUCUGCGCCAACUUUCACAUGAACAUUUAACUCUUGGUGCCAGAACAGCGACAGCUAUGGGUUAGCUCGUAUCUUCAUAAAUCUAUAUGACACCUUUCAUCAUGUUUCAGAGCUUCGUGUGCACAGUUAACCCUCUCGAUAUACAUUCAUUUCAAAGAGAUGUGGAACGAAACUAAAAUAUUAUAGACAUUAUAUUUAAUAAAUAUAACUUCAAUAAUAAUAUAAAACAGUCAACUCUA
rnacentral:lncRNA from 10 species